AUGAAGAAGAUCAACCCAGAGUUCUUCUAUGAUUACGACAUCAAUGCAGAUAAACGUGUAAGAAACGUCUUCUGUGCCAAUGCAAGUUGCAGAGGAUCUUAUGAAUAUUUUGGAGACUGUGUCACAUUCGACACGACAUAUAAAAUGCACAAGUUCCACAUGCCACUCCGAGUAUUUGUGGGAGUGAACCAUCAUCUCCAGAGCAUGAUCUUUGCUGUCGCCCUUGUGCGAGAUGAAAUGAUCCCGUCGUUCGAAUGGGUUUUCAAAACAUUAUUAAGGUGCAUGAACGACAAGCCGCCGAUCUGCAUGCUCACAGGUACAAUACACCACCUGUAUAUUUACAUUUUGUGA
rnacentral:rRNA from 1 species